AACAGAACACAAUGUCUCUUAUUCUGAUAAUGGGAACACUGGGUCUGCUUGCUCAAGUUUCUCAUCAGGAGGUCCAGUCUCCUGAAUUUCUGUCAGUUAAAGAAUCAGAAUCUGCCUCUAUUAGCUGUACUGGGACCAGUGGAGUUGAUGAUGACAUGAGCUGGUAUCUGCAGAAACCUGAAGAAGCUCCUAAACUCCUGAUCUACAAAGCAAAUCGACGUGCAUCUGGAAUCUCAGAUCGGUUCAGUGGAAGUCAAUCUGGACUCCUUUUCACACUGACCAUACGUGAAGCCAAACCUGAAGAUGCAGGAGAUUAUUACUGUAUGGGGGUUUAUAGUGACAGGUGCACACAGUGAAAUUCUGUCAUACAAAAACCUCCCUUAGUCAGAAAGCAAAGAGAGAAGCUCACCACCAUAUCAGUCUGUUGAGACAGAUCACCUGUUUGUCUUGUGGAUAUCCACUUGAUAUUUUGUUAUAAAAUUAUUGUAACAACAUAUUGUAGAUGUUAGCAAUAAUUAUUGUACUCAUUUUAAGAAAAUUUACAGCAAUUUCUUCACCUCUUUGACUAUUUUAAAUGCAGUGGGGAGGACAUAUAUAUUAUAUAAUAAUUAUGAUUUAUUAUUAUUAUAGCUACUGCAUAUACUGUAUUAGCUAAAAAAACAAGGACGUGUUGUCAAGGUUUUGAUGGUUCCUUAUGUAUAUUAUACAGCAAAAUCUUUUGGUUGGUUGAGAUCUUUUGUGAGGUCUUGGAGACCUGUCAUGUUUAACCCAGACAGAAAACAGCGUAAAAUAAUAUAUCUGAACAUCUUACUACAAUUUAGGGGGAAUGUGCUUCUCGCAACUAAAAUGUUAUAAUUAUAAAAAUGUAUCAGGUCUUUAAAACAUUGUUCAAAGUUUCUGACAGAUUAUGAAAAUACAGUAAAAAAUAAACACUA